GUCUACUGCUGUGCCACCCUGAAUAAGGUGUAUUCCGUCUGAUCUCGGAAGUUAAGCAGGGGUGGGCCUGGUUAGUACUUAGAUGGGAGACCACCUAGGAAGACCAGGUGCUGUAGGCA
rnacentral:rRNA from 1 species